GUGCGAGCAGUCGGCGAAUCUUCCCCAAUGGACGAAAAGUCUGAGGGAGCGACGCCGCGUGAAUGAAGAAGCCCUUCGGGGUGUAAAAUUCUUUUCUUUAGGAAAAAUUCGUGAUGGUACUAAAGGAAUAAGGGGCCGCCAAACUCGUGCCAGCAGCGGCGGUAAUACGAGUGCCCCGAGCGUUAUCCGGAAUUACUGGGCGUAAAGCGCUAAAAGGCGGUUUGAUAAGUCAGACGUCAAAUCUCCGAGCUCAACUCGGAGCCGGUGUCUGAAACUGUCUAACUUGAGGACGGAAGAGGCAAGCGGAAUGGCUGGUGUAGCAGUAAAAUGCGUUAAUAUCAGCUAGAACACCAAUGGC
rnacentral:rRNA from 1 species